rnacentral:rRNA from 1 species
UCGAGCGGUAACAUUUCUAGCUUGCUAGAAGAUGACGAGCGGCGGACGGGUGAGUAACGCGUAGGAAUCUGCCUAGUAGUGGGGGACAACAUGUGGAAACGCAUGCUAAUACCGCAUACGCCCUACGGGGGAAAGGAGGGGAUCUUCGGACCUUUCGCUAUUAGAUGAGCCUGCGUGAGAUUAGCUAGUUGGUGGGGUAAAGGCCUACCAAGGCGACGAUCUCUAGCUGGUCUGAGAGGAUGAUCAGCCACACUGGGACUGAGACACGGCCCAGACUCCUACGGGAGGCAGCAGUGGGGAAUAUUGGACAAUGGGCGCAAGCCUGAUCCAGCCAUGCCGCGUGUGUGAAGAAGGCCUUAGGGUUGUAAAGCACUUUCAGGAGUGAGGAAGGGUGUACGGUUAAUACCCGUAUAUUUUGACGUUAACUCCAGAAGAAGCACCGGCUAACUCUGUGCCAGCAGCCGCGGUAAUACAGAGGGUGCGAGUGUUAAUCGGAAUUACUGCGCGUAAAGCGCGCGUAGGCGGUUUGUUAAGUCGGAUGU